CGAUGUCGGCUCAUCACAUCCUGGGGCUGAAGCCGGUCCCAAGGGUAUGGCUGUUCGCCAUUUAAAGUGGUACGCGAGCUGGGUUUAGAACGUCGUGAGACAGUUCGGUCCCUAUCUGCCGUGGACGUUGGAGAUUUGAGGAAAGCUGCUCCUAGUACGAGAGGACCGGAGUGGACGAACCUCUGGUGUUCCGGUUGUCACGCCAGUGGCAUUGCCGAGUAGC
rnacentral:rRNA from 16 species